rnacentral:rRNA from 1 species
UUGCGGCCAUAUCAUCUUGAAACACCGAUCACCGCAAGAUCACUGAAGUUAAGCAACGUCGAGCCUGAUAAGUACCCAGAUGGUUGACCACUUGGGAAUGCAACGUGCAGUAUG